rnacentral:rRNA from 1 species
AGAGUUUGAUCCUGGCUCAGGAUGAACGCUAGCGGCAGGCUUAACACAUGCAAGUCGAGGGGUAGUUGUCUUCGGACAAUGAGACCGGCGCACGGGUGCGUAACGCGUAUGCAAUCUACCUUUCACAGAGGGAUAGCCCAGAGAAAUUUGGAUUAAUACCUCAUAGUUAAUAAAAAAGGCAUCACUUUAAUUAUAAAGUCACAACGGUAUAAGAUGAGCAUGCGUCCCAUUAGCUAGUUGGUAAGGUAACGGCUUACCAAGACGAUGAUGGGUAGGGGUCCUGAGAGGGAGAUCCCCCACACUGGUACUGAGACACGGACCAGACUCCUACGGGAGGCAGCAGUGAGGAAUAUUGGACAAUGGGCGCAAGCCUGAUCCAGCCAUGCCGCGUGCAGGAUGACGGUCCUAUGGAUUGUAAACUGCUUUUAUACGAGAAGAAACACUGAUUCGUGAAUCAGCUUGACGGUAUCGUAAGAAUAAGGAUCGGCUAACUCCGUGCCAGCAGCCGCGGUAAUACGGAGGAUCCAAGCGUUAUCCGGAAUCAUUGGGUUUAAAGGGUCCGUAGGCGGUCUAGUAAGUCAGUGGUGAAAGCCCAUCGCUCAACGGUGGAACGGCCAUUGAUACUGCUGGACUUGAAUUAUUAGGAAGUAACUAGAAUAUGUAGUGUAGCGGUGAAAUGCUUAGAGAUUACAUGGAAUACCAAUUGCGAAGGCAGGUUACUACUAAUGGAUUGACGCUGAUGGACGAAAGCGUGGGUAGCGAACAGGAUUAGAUACCCUGGUAGUCCACGCCGUAAACGAUGGAUACUAGCUGUUGGGGGCAACUUCAGUGGCUAAGCGAAAGUGAUAA